rnacentral:rRNA from 1 species
AGAGUUUGAUCCUGGCUCAGGAUGAACGCUAGCGGCAGGCCUAACACAUGCAAGUCGAACGGUAUAUUUUCUUCGGAGAAUAGAGAGUGGCGCACGGGUGAGUAACGCGUAUGCAACCUACCUGUAACAGGGGGAUAGCCCGGAGAAAUUCGGAUUAAUACCCCAUGGUAUUUACUUAAGGCAUCUUAAGUAUCUUAAAACAUUAGUGGUUACAGAUGGGCAUGCGUGUCAUUAGCUAGUUGGUAAGGUAACGGCCUACCAAGGCAACGAUGACUACGGGGUCUAAAAGGAUGGUCCCGCACACUGGUACUGAGACACGGACCAGACUCCUACGGGAGGCAGCAGUGAGGAAUAUUGGUCAAUGGGGGCAACCCUGAACCAGCCAUGCCGCGUGAAGGAUGACGGCUCUAUGAGUUGUAAACUUCUUUUAUUCGCAAGGAACUGCAUCUACGUGUAGAUGUUUGACCAGCGGACGAAUAAGCAUCGGCUAACUCCGUGCCAGCAGCCGCGGUAAUACGGAGGAUGCAAGCGUUAUCCGGAUUUAUUAGGUUUAAAGGGUACGUAGGCGGAUUUUUAAGUCAGUGGUGAAAUCCUGCAGCUUAACUGCAGAACUGCCAUUGAUACUGGAAGUCUUGAGUAUAAUUGAAGUAGGCGGAAUGUGUAAUGUAGCGGUGAAAUGCUUAGAUAUUACCCAGAACACCGAUUGCGAAGGCAGCUUACUAAACUAUAACUGACGCUAAUGUACGAAAGCGCGGGUAGCGAACAGGAUUAGAUACCCUGGUAGUCCACGCCGUAAACGAUGAUCACUCGCUGUGUGCGAUAUACAGUACGCGGCUUAGCGAAAGCAUUAAGUGAUCCACCUGGGGAGUACGUUCGCAAGAAUGAAACUCAAAGGAAUUGACGGGGGCCCGCACAAGCGGAGGAACAUGUGGUUUAAUUCGAUGAUACGCGAGGAACCUUACCUGGGCUUGAAAGUUAGCGACCGGUACUGAAAGGUACUUUCUCUUCGGAGCGCGAAACUAGGUGCUGCAUGGUUGUCGUCAGCUCGUGCCGUGAGGUGUCGGGUUAAGUCCCAUAACGAGCGCAACCCCUAUCGUUAGUUGCCAGCGGGUCAUGCCGGGGACUCUAAUGAGACUGCCACCGUAAGGUGUGAGGAAGGUGGGGAUGACGUCAAAUCAGCACGGCCUUUAUGUCCAGGGCUACACACGUGUUACAAUGGCACAUACAAAGGGCAGCUACCGGGUGACCGGAUGCUAAUCUCUAGAAUGUGUCUCAGUUCGGAUCGAAGUCUGCAACUCGACUUCGUGAAGCUGGAUUCGCUAGUAAUCGCGCAUCAGCCAUGGCGCGGUGAAUACGUUCCCGGGCCUUGUACACACCGCCCGUCAAGCCAUGGCAGCUUGGGGUACCUAAAGUCCGUAACCGUAAGGAGCGGCCUAGGGUAAAACAAGUAACUGGGGCUAAGUCGUAACAAGGUA